rnacentral:lncRNA from 1 species
AUAGCGACAUAGUUCCUUUCACCGGGCUUUGAUAGUGGUAGCAGGAGCGAGCUGAGGUAGGGACUUACAGAACCUUUAUAUUUCUUUUCAUGCUCAUAUUUUAUAAAUGAAUGGAUAUAGUCGUUAUUGAAAUUCAUGCAUGGUUUUGGUUGAAUAUUAUUGCUAACAGGAAUUGCUAUUCGGUUCAUUUCUUAUUAUUAAGUCGAUGAUUGCGAUUGGAUUCCUCGAAAAAUUUGAUUAUUGGAUUAAUUUAGUUUAUUUAUAUUUUAUAUAAAAAUAGUGUUUUAAAAAGGAAUUUCUCGAUAAAUCUCUUUCCAAUGGUGGAAAGGAUUUGGUUUUGUAAUGCGGGGCAAGGAAACCCGAUUGUAAUGUAUAACUGGGAUGUGUGAGGUCCCUAGAUUGGUGGAAAUAUUGAUCUGGUAUGCUGUCACGAUUAUGGCUGUGGCCCGGUUAGGGUAGCCAACUAUACGGAUGAUAUUUGAUUAUGGUUGUGGCCCGGUUAGGGUAGCCAUGGAUAUUGUUUAAAUCUGGGGACUCACCACACAUUUAAAUAUAUAUAAAGAAAGUAACUAAUAUAUUAUAUAUAUUUAUAUAAUGAGGUAGUUUGGAGAGGGACCUGUGAAUUCCUAUAAAGAAUGAGUUGUUGUCAUAUUCCGGAGACGACAGUUCAUUCUAGGAUGACAUCUAUGGUGUUCACCUUUAGAAGGUGAAUGGGCCGCCUUCUAGAGAGAUACAUUAGAGAUGUAUCCGGGAAUUCCUUUUCACCAUUCCAGACCACCAUUCAUGUAGUGGUACGUUGUUGAUAUAUUAGUUCAGAUGAGGCUACAUGUUACCUCGAUGAGGUUUAGACGCGAGGGGUGAGAGUUAGUCCAAUCCUGGACGUGUGUCAGGAUCCUGUGCAGUCUGCAGUCGUCGAACGGUUGACCACCGUAAGUCAGGGAUUCCUCGUAUCAGGAAUCGUGGUCAAAGGCCCACCUGAGCCUAAAUAGACGGGUUUAGUGUUCUGGGAACACAAUAACGGUAAUACAGUCACCCCACCGGAAAUCAGGAAAUAACGGUGUAGGUUCACACUGGUAAGUACUGAACCAAGAGAUUGCCUGCGACCGGGGCGGUAUAGCGGUCGUACCUCAUCAUUCUAGUAGGAUGCAACUACCCGAAACUAUUGUAUGAUGGUUUGCUUAUAUAUAGUAUACUUGUGAUGCUAUUAUAUUGUAAUGUUUUACAUUUCCGUUUUUAUUAUUCGCCUUUUAUGUAUUUAAAAUCUUGCAUUAUUUACAACUGUUUAUUAUGGAUUAAUCGUCAUAAUUAGAUUUAUAUUGGAACUGUAAGUCACUACUGAGCAAGUGGAUUAUGCUCACCCUACCAUUACCCUUUUCAGACGAUUCUACAAUUGAGGAGCCUGCUGUAGAGGUAGUCGAUGACGGGGAUGAUGACUACUUUUGUCUUAUGUGAGAGAGUGGGCGAGGGUUGAAAUAAUCUUUUGUUAGUCACUUUAUAUGAGAUAUAUGUAUAUAUAACUAUUACGAAAACAGUCUUGUAUAUAUACUACAGAAUCAUGUAAGUUGAGUUAUUAUUUAUAUAUAUAAAAAGUUUGUUUUUGUGUACUUGCGAUUUUGUCGUAAAUGGAGAAAAUGAAUUCAACACCUGACUCCCAAGGUUUUUUAUUAAUAGGUUAGAAAUGAUAAAUUUUGUCCUUAGUAUUGAUUUAAUGCCUCGAGAUGCGGUUCAAACUUAUUGAGAUAUGAAUUGUAUUUUGGGGUGUUACAGCAUGGUAUCAGAGCGCCACUAUUAGAUUCGUUUGGGGUCUGUUAGAAGAAUAUGUGUUUUAAGGAAAAUAAAGAAAAUGAAUAAAAUACACUAGUCCUAUCAAGACAUCUUGGCAAUUUUAGAACGUCAACUUGCUGUCGAAACGUUGUUGAAAUUUAAAAUACACUUGCAACAUUAACAGCUUAGAUCAAAGUGUCGUGAGAGAUCGAUGAGUUUCGAGAUGUGUAAUUAUGAUGUUACUCUGCCGAAAUUUACUUUUGUUAAGUAUAUCGCGUUCUCGGCUGAAUUUGUGAUUUUGACCAAAUGCAGAAGGUUUACUAUGGAUGUUUUGGGAAAUACUGAUAGUGAUGGCACUACUAGCCAGACAUCUAUUGACAAGGGGUUAGAUUUGUUGAACAAAAUGUCGCAAGGACAAGAGGAACUGAGAAUGGAUGUAGCGAAUCUUAAGGCCAGGCAGAAUAAUGAAGCACAACUUCCACCUCCACCGGCUAUUAUUCCUACUGGUGUUGUGCCUGAAAUGGUGCGACCUGUUUUGCAAAAUGUGGCAUUACAGGAAGUCCAACCAGCAGUUUUGGGCCAACCAAAUGUACAGGCAUUAGUUGCAGCAGAGAAUCAGAAUGUGUUGCCAUUUGUUCAAGGCCAGGGAGGUUAUUUACUGACUAACUUUGCUAGGUUGAAUCCACCAAUAUUUGAAGGGCCUUCAGGAUCUUUAACUACUUCAAAACCCGAAGAUUGGUUGUUGGAUAUAUCUUCCAUGCUUGACUCUUUUAUGUGUAAUGACACUGAGCGUGUGAACCUGGCAGUUUUUAUGCUUAGAGGUCAAGCAAAACACUGGUGGAUUAGUGUGAAAGAUAUCGAAGUGCAACCUAUGACAUGGGCAAGGUUUGAGGAAGUGUUUUUGUUGAGAUAUGUAAGUGAAGCUGACCGACAAAGGAAAUAUAUAGAGUUCUUGAAACUAGAACAAGGAAGUAUGACAGUGACUCAAUACGAGGAGAAAUUUACUGUGUUGUCCAGGUAUGGGAAGGAAAUGAUCUCAACUGAAAAAUCGAAAGCCACAAAGUUCAUAUAUGGGUUGAAGGCCUAUAUGCAGGACAAAAUGUCUGUACUUCAGAUUGAUAAUUAUGGCGAGGCUGUGAGGAGAGCUCAGGGAAUUGAAAGGGUUGAUGAGCAGCUGCGUAUUAAUAAGCCUCUACCAUCUUAUAGUGGGAAACGACAGUGUUACCAGGGUAGUAGUUCAGGACCACAGAAAUUUUACAGACCAACUGGUCAGCCUAUUCAAUACAUGAGGCCGACUACUGUGCACAAAAGUUUUAAUGUUGUUAGGCCAGUACAUAGUUCACCAAGCGUUAGACCAGUUACUAAGAUGGCUCCAUGGGAUCUUUGUCCUCCAAAGGUGAAACCACCAGAGCACACUUCGAAGCCAUCGACUCAAAUAGUUAAAGGGCCACGUGCGCCGACCUGGCAGGAUAAUCUGCUUACAUGUUAUCAUUGUGGAGGUGUUGGUCAUAUGAAGAAGUUUUGUCCACGACUGAAUCCAAUGCUUGCACAGAAACAUGCCAGUAAAGUGUAUUAUCUAGUUCCUUCAGAGGAGGCAGUAGAGUCUCAGGAUGAAGCCAUGGUUUAUUCCACGAUAGAGGCAGAUCCGAAUGCAACUGAGGAAGUGGUUGAAGGUACGAUACUUUUAUUUUCGCAUUAUGUACGUGUUAUGUUUGAUAGUGGUGCUACUCGUUCUUUUAUUGAUCCUAGUGUGGCUGCAUCUUUGAAAUUGAAAAUGAAGAAUACGGGUAGAAAGCUUACUUUAUCGACUGCCAAUGGAUUGAAAACCAUGUUACUUAGAGUUUGCCAACAUUGUCUAGUUACUAUUGGUAAGUUUGAAAUGACAGCAGAUUUUGUUGUUAUGGAUCUGAAAGAUUUCGACAUUAUACUUGGGAUGAAUUGGAUGUCCAGCCAUCAUGCUCAUGUAGAUUGUUUUGCAAAAGCUGUUGUUUUCAAGAUGCCAGGAGAGCCUGAGUUUAUGUUUAAGGGGGUACGACAUCAUGUUACUCGAUUCAUGAAGAUUGUGGAAAUUUCUAGAAGUUCUGAAUAUGCUAUGUUAGCGAGUGUUGAUGUGAUUAACAAAGAAUCACCAUCACUGGAGCAUCUUUUAGUAGUCUCUGAGUUUGAGGCAGUAUUUCCUGAAAAACUACCAGGAUUGCCACCUCAACGAGAAAUAGAUUUUGUGAUAGAUCUUAUACCGGGAACUUCACCAAUUUCGAUGAAUCCUUAUCGAAUGGCUCCAAUAGAGAUGCGAGAAUUGAAAUCUCAGAUUGAAGAGUUGAAGGAUUUGGAUUUAUACGCGAGAGCCACUCACCUUGGGGGGCUCCGGUAUUGUUUGUGAAGAAGAAGGACGGGUCAUUUCGACUUUGUAUUGAUUAUCGCAAAUUAAACCAUGCGACUAUCAAGAACAAAUACCCGUUGCCUGAUCUAUUUGAUCAAUUGAGGGAUGCCAGAUAUUUCUCGAAGAUAGAUCUCAGAUCCGGUUAUCAUCAGUUGAGAAUUAGAGAUGGAGACAUUGAGAAAACUGCUUUCCGAACUCGGUUGGGACACUUUGAAUUUCUGGUGAUGCCGUUUGGUUUGACAAAUGCUCCAGCUGCAUUUAUGGAUCUGAUGCACCGUGUGUUUUGGAAAUAUUUAGACCAAUUUGUUAUCAUUUUUAUCGAUGACAUAUUGAUCUAUUCCAAGACUCAGGAAGAGCAUGAAAAACAUUUGAGAAUUACACUUCAAACAUUACUUGAACCAAAGCUUUAUGCUAAGUUCAGUAAAUGUGAAUUCUGGUUGCGUGAAGUGAAAUUUCUUGGGCAUGUUGUAUCGAAAGAUGGCAUAUCUGUUGAUCCUUCAAAGAUUGAAGCAAUUAAGAAUUGGCAGAGGCCAAAGAAUGUGACAGAAAUCAGAAGUUUUCUGGGAUUAGCAGGCUAUUAUCGUCGAUUUGUUGAGGGGUUUUCGAGUUUAGCUUCGUCCUUAACGAGAUUAACUCAAAAAGAUUCAAAAUUUGAAUGGACAGAUGAUUGCGAAUCUGCAUUUCAGGAGUUGAAAAGUCGGCUAACUACUGCACCAAUUUUAACAGUUCCAGAUCCUAAGAAGGAUUAUGUGGUAUAUACUGACGCUUCUAAGGUUGGACUGGGGUGUGUUCUAAUGCAAGACGGUAAGGUGAUAGCUUAUGCGUCGAGGCAGCUGAACAAUCAUGAGAAAAAUUAUCCUACACAUGACUUAGAGUUAGCUGCAGUUGUGCAUGCUUUAAAGAUAUGGAGACACUACUUGUAUGGGGAGAAGUUUGUAGUCUUCUCUGAUCAUAAGAGCCUCAAAUAUCUGUUUUCGCAGAGAGAUUUGAAUAUGAGACAGACGAGGUGGGUUGAAUACCUUAAGGACUAUGAUGUUACAUUGCAAUACCAUCCUGGUAAAGCUAAUGUAGUGGCAGAUGCCCUUAGUCGGAAACAGGACGAGGUAUGUGCUCAAAUGAUGAUACAUGAGUGGAAAUUAUUAGACUCAGUUGGUUGUUAUUUUUUUUUGUAAAUAAACAAGCAGUAUCGAAGGAGUUCCAAAUGUACAGAAGAUAUGUAGAAGAUACUGAAAAUCAUCAAUGGCAAGAGUGUGAAGAUGGUAGUAUCAGAUUCAGAGGAAGGUUUUGGGUUCCAGCAAAUCAAGCUUUGAGAAACUGUAUACUAAAUGAAGCCCACAGAUCAAGGUAUACUAUUCAUCCGGGCGGCACUAAAAUGUAUAGAGACUUACGUCGACAGUUUUGGUGGCCAGGAAUGAAGAAACAUAUUGCCCAAUAUGUGAAGAGAUGUGCGACAUGCCAACAGGUAAAAGCUGAACACAAUAGGCCUCCAGGUCUUCUUCAUCCUUUAGAAAUUCCAGAAUGGAAGUGGGAUCAUAUAACGAUGGAUUUUAUAUCCGGGUUACCAAAAACCAGUGAUGGAAUGGACUCGAUAUGGGUUAUAGUUGACAGAUUGACAAAGUCUGCUCACUUUCUACCUGUUAAAAGUUCAUAUUCCGCUGAAAAAUUGAGUCGGAAGUAUAUUUCAGAGAUACUAAGGUUGCAUGGCGCACCAAGAUCAAUUGUUUCUGAUAGAGGCACUCAAUUUACUGGUUCAUUCUGGCGAGGUCUUCAAAGAGAACUUUGCACAAGGUUGAAUCUUAGUACCGCAUUUCACCCACAAACUGAUGGUCAGUCUGAAAGAGUAAUUCAAAUUGUAGAAGAUAUGCUUCGCGCUUGUAUUCUUGAUUUUGGAGGUAAUUGGAAGGAGCAUCUAUCAUUGGCCGAAUUUGCUUACAAUAACAGCUAUCAGUCCAGUAUAGGCAUGGCACCUUAUGAAGCACUAUAUGGGCGACCAUGUAGAACACCAUUGUGUUGGGCAGAGACUGGGGACAGUAUUUUGAUAGGGCCAGACAUAGUUGGGGAAACUACUGAGACGAUCAGAAUAAUAAGAAACAGGUUGUUAACAGCACAAAGUAGACAGAAGAGUUAUGCUGAUUCUCGUAGACGACAUGCAGAGUUUAAAGAAGGAGACAUGGUACUUCUUAAAGUUUCUCCGAAAAAGGGUAUUCAAAGGUUCAGAAUGAAAGGCAAACUGGCACCAAGAUAUGUGGGACCGUUUCGAAUUAUUCAAAAGGUUUCUGAUCUGGCCUAUAGACUUGAAUUGCCUGAAAAGUUAGCACGUGUCCACAACGUCUUCCAUAUUUCGAUGUUACGUGAGUACAGAAAUGAUCCUAACCAUAAGAUUGAUGUGGAGUCUUUAGAACUAGAAGAUGAUCUAUCCUAUCCAGAAGGGCCAGUUAAAAUUACGGGAUGGAAAGAGAAGCAACUCAGAUCCAAGGUCAUUCCAUUAGUCAAGGUAGUGUGGCAACAUCAUAAUGUGAAAGAAGCAACCUGGGAAAGAGAGUCAGAGAUGCAGGAGAAAUAUCCUGAACUUUUCAGGAAAGGAUGUUACCAAUAGCGAGGUAUCACUCUAAUUUCGAGGACGAAAUUUCUUUUAACGUUUAUAGAAUGUAAAGACCCGUGCACUCUUUAGGGGCAUUUUAGUAAUCUUACCAUCAAGAAACGGUUGUAAGUGUAAUAUAGUGAAAAAUAUGUUAAGAAAUUAAUUAAAAACAGCGUAAUUUUAUAAGAACCAUUCAAAUUUACAUAAACUUAUUAAGUGUAUUGUCAAGUUCAAACACGUAAAAUAGGUUUAAAUGGACCCACAUGUGUUAUAGAAAAGGGUUUUACCAAUAGGAUUAACUUAACUAGAGUGCUCCCGAAUGCACAAGAUUGUGUGGGGUUACUUGCAUGGCUAAGUAUACAAAUUAGCUGGACACCUCCUGCUUGGGCAGUAGCUAGUUGUUGUGAUCUAUAUUCAACCUACAUAGGGAACAUAAAACAAUGUGAAAGGACCAAACCAGCUUUAUGUUUGCUCAUUACAUCUCCCUUGCCUUCAUUUAACAACACCUAAUGAAUUCUUAACUAUACCAUCAGUAGCUUAAGGUUGGAAACUAGUUUAUACCUUAACUUGAAUUAGUAUAGCUAGCAGUGAAGAAAGUAAUCAAAGUAGAAAAGAACAAGAGGACCAAGGAGAGAAAGGAAGGGGAUAAGCAGUAGAGAACCACUCCGGCAGGUAUCCUUCUAUCACUUUAGAAAUUUGGUUUUUUGAGAGCUAAGACUUUUGAGGAACACUUGAUUCUAAUAAAGUUUCAUUGGACAAUAAAGAUUUAGGUGACCUUAGCUUCAGAUCUGGGCACAGGUGAGAUAUAGAAUUAUGGUCGGUUUUGAUGUGUAGAUUAGCCAUACAUAUUGAUCAUGUGUUGUUCUAAGUGCACCUGGUGAUUGGGUUUUAACUUAGCAUAUGUAAUUUGAAAUAGAUAGAAAUUAAAGAAAAGAUAUAUUAUGGCAGGAUAUAAUAAUUAUGGUUAAUGCCGAUGUCCUACUAAACUCGAAAUUAAUGGCAACACUCUGAUAUAGGUGUUUCACACAUGGAUUUACUAUGAUAAACAAGCCAAUUACCAAUACGCUAUAGCUCGGAUAAUUUGCUUUAUUAGACAACAUAUAAAAAAAACACGAAACUAACAAUCGAUUAGGAUACUUUAGAUAAUUAGUUAGAUAGUAGCAAAUUAUUAAAUCUUUAGAUUUUGGGCUUAUGCUUGUUCUUAUAUUUUAGGAUAGCGACAUAGUUCCUUUCACCGGGCUUUGAUAGUGGUAGCAGGAGCGAGCUGAGGUAGGGACUUACAGAACCUUUAUAUUUCUUUUCAUGCUCAUAUUUUAUAAAUGAAUGGAUAUAGUCGUUAUUGAAAUUCAUGCAUGGUUUUGGUUGAAUAUUAUUGCUAACAGGAAUUGCUAUUCGGUUCAUUUCUUAUUAUUAAGUCGAUGAUUGCGAUUGGAUUCCUCGAAAAAUUUGAUUAUUGGAUUAAUUUAGUUUAUUUAUAUUUUAUAUAAAAAUAGUGUUUUAAAAAGGAAUUUCUCGAUAAAUCUUUUUCCAAUGGUGGAAAGGAUUUGGUUUUGUAAUGCGGGGCAAGGAAACCCGAUUGUAAUGUAUAACUGGGAUGUGUGAGGUCCCUAGAUUGGUGGAAAUAUUGAUCUGGUAUGCUGUCACGAUUAUGGCUAUGGCCCGGUUAGGGUAGCCAACUAUACGGAUGAUAUUUGAUUAUGGUUGUGGCCCGGUUAGGGUAGCCAUGGAUAUUGUUUAAAUCUGGGGACUCACCACACAUUUAAAUAUAUAUAAAGAAAGUAACUAAUAUAUUAUAUAUAUUUAUAUAAUGAGGUAGUUUGGAGAGGGACCUGUGAAUUCCUAUAAAGAAUGAGUUGUUGUCAUAUUCCGGAGACGACAGUUCAUUCUAGGAUGACAUCUAUGGUGUUCACCUUUAGAAGGUGAAUGGGCCGCCUUCUAGAGAGAUACAUUAGAGAUGUAUCCGGGAAUUCCUUUUCACCAUUCCAGACCACCAUUCAUGUAGUGGUACGUUGUUGAUAUAUUAGUUCAGAUGAGGCUACAUGUUACCUCGAUGAGGUUUAGACGCGAGGGGUGAGAGUUAGUCCACUCCUGGACGUGUGUCAGGAUCCUGUGCAGUCUGCAGUCGUCGAACGGUUGACCACCGUAAGUCAGGGAUUCCUCGUAUCAGGAAUCGUGGUCAAAGGCCCACCUGAGCCUAAAUAGACGGGUUUAGUGUUCUGGGAACACAAUAACGGUAAUACAGUCACCCCACCGGAAAUCAGGAAAUAACGGUGUAGGUUCACACUGGUAAGUACUGAACCAAGAGAUUGCCUGCGACCGGGGCGGUAUAGCGGUCGUACCUCAUCAUUCUAGUAGGAUGCAACUACCCGAAACUAUUGUAUGAUGGUUUGCUUAUAUAUAGUAUACUUGUGAUGCUAUUAUAUUGUAAUGUUUUACAUUUCCGUUUUUAUUAUUCGCCUUUUAUGUAUUUAAAAUCUUGCAUUAUUUACAACUGUUUAUUAUGGAUUAAUCGUCAUAAUUAGAUUUAUAUUGGAACUGUAAGUCACUACUGAGCAAGUGGAUUAUGCUCACCCUACCAUUACCCUUUUCAGACGAUUCUACAAUUGAGGAGCCUGCUGUAGAGGUAGUCGAUGACGGGGAUGAUGACUACUUUUGUCUUAUGUGAGAGAGUGGGCGAGGGUUGAAAUAAUCUUUUGUUAGUCACUUUAUAUGAGAUAUAUGUAUAUAUAACUAUUACGAAAACAGUCUUGUAUAUAUACUACAGAAUCAUGUAAGUUGAGUUAUUAUUUAUAUAUAUAAAAAGUUUGUUUUUGUGUACU